UACGAAGGGGGCUAGCGUUGCUCGGAAUUACUGGGCGUAAAGGGCUCGUAGGCGGCCAACUAAGUCGGAUGUGAAAUCCCCGGGCUCAACCUGGGAACUGCAUCCGAAACUGCCUUGCUAGAGUAUGGGAGAGGGAAGUGGAAUUUCCGGUGUAGCGGUGAAAUGCGUAGAUAUCGGAAGGAACAUCAGUGGCGAAGGCGACUUCCUGGACCAAUACUGACGCUCAGGUGCGAAAGCUAGGGGAGCAAACGGG
rnacentral:rRNA from 1 species